rnacentral:misc_RNA from 1 species
GAUGAAGAACGCAGCGAAAUGCGAUAAGUAAUGUGAAUUGCAGAAUUCAGUGAAUCAUCGAAUCUUUGAACGCACAUUGCGCCCCCCGGUAUUCCGGGGGGCAUGCCUGUCCGAGCGUCAUUACAACCCUCAAGCUCAGCUUGGUGUUGGGCCCCGCCGCCCCGGCGGGCCCUAAAGUCAGUGGCGGUGCCGUCCGGCUCCGAGCGUAGUAAUUCUUCUCGCUCUGGAGGUCCGGUCGUGUGCUCGCCAGCAACCCCCAAUUUUUUUCAGGUUGACCUCGGAUCAGGUAGGGAUACCCGCUGAACUUAAGCAUAUCAAUAAGCGGAGGA